rnacentral:rRNA from 1 species
UAGGGAAUCUUCCGCAAUGGGCAAAAGCCUGACGGAGCCACGCCGCGUUAGUGAUGAAGGUCUUCGGUUCGUAAAACUCUGUUAUUAGGGAAGAACAAAUGUGUAAGUAACUAUGCACGUCUUGACGGUACCUAAUCAGAAAGCCACGGCUAACUACGUGCCAGCAGCCGCGGUAAUACGUAGGUGGCAAGCGUUAUCCGGAAUUAUUGGGCGUAAAGCGCGCGUAGGCGGUUUUUUAAGUCUGAUGUGAAAGCCCACGGCUCAACCGUGGAGGGUGAUUGGAAACUGGAAAACUUGAGUGCAGAAGAGGAAAGUGGGAUUCCAUGUGUAGAGGUGAAAUGCGAGGAGAUAUGGGGGAACACCAGGGGCGAAGGAGACUUUCUGGUCUGUAACUAACGCUGAUGUGCGAAAGCGUGGGGAUCAAACAGG